AUCUUCCGCAAUGGACGAAAGUCUGACGGAGCAACGCCGCGUGAGUGAUGAAGGUUUUCGGAUCGUAAAACUCUGUUGUUAGGGAAGAACAAGUACCGUUCGAAUAAGGCGGUACCUUGACGGUACCUAACCAGACAGCCACGGCUACCUACGUGCCAGCAGCCGCGGUAAUACGUAGGUGGCAAGCGUUGUCCGGAAUUAUUGGGCGUAAAGCGCGCGCAGGCGGUUCCUUAAGUCUGAUGUGAAAGCCCACGGCUCAACCGUGGAGGGUCAUUGGAAACUGGGGAACUUGAGUGCAGAAGAGAAGAGCGGAAUUCCACGUGUAGCGGUGAAAUGCGUAGAGAUGUGGAGGAACACCAGUGGCGAAGGCGGCUCUUUGGUCUGUAACUGACGCUGAGGCGCGAAAGCGUGGUGAGCAAACAGG
rnacentral:rRNA from 1 species